rnacentral:rRNA from 1 species
UAUAAAGAAAAGACGAACAGCUCAGUAACUCUUAUUUUAUUUGAUGUAUUAGGAUUAUAACUAUGUUAAAUUAUAGAUAACAAUAAUACAAUAAGAAUAAGAUCUAUCAGUUAGUUGUUAAGGUAAUGGCUUAACAAGACUAUGACGGAUAACGGUAUUACUUUGUAAUAUUCCGGAGAAGGAGCCUGAGAGAUUGCUACUAAGUCUAAGGAUUGCAGCAGGGGCGAAACUUGACCUAUGAUAUGAUAUUGAGGCAGUUAUGAGUAGUAUUUUUAAUUAUUGUAGUAUUGUAAGUAUAUACUACAAGAUAAAUCGGAGGGCAAAUCGAGUGCCAGCAGCCGCGGUAAUACUUGUUCCGAUAGUGUGUAUGAUGAUUGAUGCAGUUAAAAAGUCUGUAGUUUAUGAUUAAUAAGCAUUGUGAGGUAUAUUGUAUGGUUAGGAGAGAGAUGAAAUGUGAUAACCCUAACUGGAUGAACAGAAGCGAAAGCUAUAUACUUAAAUGUAUUAUUAGAACAAGGACGUAAGCUAGAGGAUCGAAGAUGAUUAGAUACCAUUGUAGUUCUAGCAGUAAACUAUGUUAAAUCAUAGAUACAUUUUAUAAUAUGUAUUUAUGUAAAGAAAUUAAGAUUAUAUUGACUCUGGGGAUAGUAUGAUCGCAAGAUUGAAAAUUAAAGAAAUUGACGGAAGAAUACCACAAGGAGUGGAUUGUGCGG